GAUGAACGCUGGCGGCGUGCCUAAUACAUGCAAGUCGAGCGAAUGGAUUAAGAGCUUGCUCUUAUGAAGUUAGCGGCGGACGGGUGAGUAACACGUGGGUAACCUGCCCAUAAGACUGGGAUAACUCCGGGAAACCGGGGCUAAUACCGGAUAACAUUUUGAACCGCAUGGUUCGAAAUUGAAAGGCGGCUUCGGCUGUCACUUAUGGAUGGACCCGCGUCGCAUUAGCUAGUUGGUGAGGUAACGGCUCACCAAGGCAACGAUGCGUAGCCGACCUGAGAGGGUGAUCGGCCACGCUGGGACUGGGACACGGCCCAGACUCCUACGGGAGGCAGCAGUAGGGAAUCUUCCGCAAUGGACGAAAGUCUGACGGAGCAACGCCGCGUGAGUGAUGAAGGCUUUCGGGUCGUAAAACUCUGUUGUUAGGGAAGAACAAGUGCUAGUUGAAUAAGCUGGCACCUUGAUGGUACCUAACCAGAAAGCCACGGCUAACUACGUGCCAGCCGCCGCCGUAA
rnacentral:rRNA from 1 species